rnacentral:misc_RNA from 1 species
GAUGAAGAACGCAGCGAAAUGCGAUACGUAAUGUGAAUUGCAGAAUUCAGUGAAUCAUCGAAUCUUUGAACGCAUAUUGCGCUCUCUGGUAUUCCGGAGAGCAUGCUUGUUUGAGUAUCAGUAAACACCUCAACUCCCUUUUCUUUUUUGAAAUUGGAGCUGGACUUGAGUGAUCCCAACGCUUUCUUCCAAGAAAGUGGCGGGUUGCUUGAAAUGCAGGUGCAGCUGAACUUUUCUGUGAGCUAUAAGCAUAUCUAUUUAGUCUGCCUAAAAAACAGAUUAUUACCUUUGCUGCAGCUAACAUAAAGGAGACUAGUUCUUGUGCUGACUGAUGCAGGAUUCACAGAGACAGCUUCGGCUGACUUUGUAAACUCGAUCUCAAAUCAAGUAAGACUACCCGCUGAACUUAAGCAUAUCAAUAAGCGGAGGA